rnacentral:rRNA from 1 species
AGCGAACGCUGGCGGCAGGCCUAACACAUGCAAGUCGAACGAAGUCUUCGGACUUAGUGGCGGACGGGUGAGUAACACGUGGGAACGUACCUUUUGGUUCGGAACAGCUCAGGGAAACUUGGGGUAAUACCGCAUACGCCCUUCGGGGGAAAGAUUUAUCGCCGAUAGAUGAGCCCGCGUCUGAUUAGCUAGUUGGUGAGGUAAUGGCUCACCAAGGCGACGAUCAGUAGCUGGUCUGAGAGGAUGACCAGCCACACUGGGACUGAGACACGGCCCAGACUCCUACGGGAGGCAGCAGUGGGGAAUAUUGGACAAUGGGCGAAAGCCUGAUGCAGCAACGCCGCGUGAGUGAUGAAGGCCUUCGGGUUGUAAAGCUCUGUCUUUUGGGACGAUAAUGACGGUACCAAAGGAGGAAGCCACGGCUAACUACGUGCCAGCAGCCGCGGUAAUAC